UCUUUACUAAAUCUAAAAACCAAAAGGGCCACCCACUUCUCUCACUCGAGGCAUCAAGAAGCCCUUUUCUGAACUUCCCUCCAAGGCCUUAUUUUCCUCUGCCACUCUCAAUUCCCGCAGGUACUAAUCUGAUCUUUUUUUUUUUUUUGGCAACCCCCGUUUGAUUCCCAAGAAAAUCUACCCCCCAUUUGAUUUCCGGGAAAAUUCAUCCUCGUUUGAUUUCCGAGAAAAUCCAUGCAAAACCCCCAAGGAACACCAAAAAAAUUGCUUUGUUUUUUGGGUCCCUGUGUUUGCUGGAUCUGUUCUAGGGGUCUCUUUGCUUUUAUGCCAUUGGAUUUAAAUUUCACGAACCCUAAAUCCACGAUUUUUGAGCCAGACUGAAGAACACAACAACCUCUUCCAUCUGAAUCUAAAAAUCAAAAGAGCCAGCCGCUUCUCUCACUCGAAGUAUGAAGAAGCCCUUUUCUGAAGUUGCCCUCCAGACGAGAGAAUCCCUAGAAAGGCCCUAUUUUCCUCUGCCACUCGAUCCUCGCAGGGGUCUCUUUGCUUUUAUGCCAUUGGAUUUAAAUUUCACGAACCCUAAAUCCACGAUUUUUGAGCCAGACUGAAGAACACAACAACCUCUUCCCUAUUCCACUGCAAGCUCCACUUCUCCCCGUAUCUCGCCGGCGCCGAUCAUCUCAGAGCAGUAGAAAUUGAAAUGGGUAUUACACAAGAUCUCCUCAAGGCUGUUGAUCAGUAUCGCUUGGAGUGUUUUGAGAAAGCACAACUUCAUGGACAGACAACAGGAUCUACACAGCUUCAUGGACAGACAACGGUAUGCUCUCAUUAUUGAGAAAGCUUUUAUUAUUGAAUUUCAGUAAUUACUUGUUGAUUAAACACUCAAAGUAAUUUCAUUUUCUUGGCAUCACAGUGAGCAAGAUCAAGGAUCAAGUGAAUCCGUUGAGAUCCAAGUUUUUUUCGGCUACCUUUCAAUAUUGGGUGUCCUCUCAGUGAAAUAUCAAGGCAUCAGCAUUUCCCUACUUGAGGAACAUAAAGGGAUUAUAUAUAUUUUUGUUAUUGUUAUUUUCAUCUAUGUUGGAACAAUUAUUGUUGGUAAAAAGCUUGGGCCCAUUCGACUCCUCUCUGCCACAAUUGCCCCAAUCUUACUCUUCAUUUUAUGAGUGUGGCAAAUGAGUUGAAUACAUGACUUGCUUGGUGAAGAAGAUAAUGAUAUAGUUGUGGCAAAUGAGUUGAAUACAUGACUUGCUUGGUGAAGAAGAUAAUGAUAUAGUUGUCGUAAGUAGUCCCAUGCCAAUUUUGCUGCAAGGAUGACCCAUAAACCAAGUGCCGGCCAUCCUAAUUCUGGAACUAAAAUGAAGAAGAGUAAGAUUGGGGCAAUUGUGGCAGAGAGGAGUCGAAUGAGCCCAAGCUUUUUACCAACAAUAAUUGUUGCAACAUAGAUUGAAAUAACAAUAACAAAAAUAUAUAUAAUCCCUUUAUGUUCCUCAAGUAGGGAAAUGUUGAUGCCUUGAUAUUUCACUGAGAGGAGGACGCCUAAUAUUAAAAGGUAGCCGAAAAAAACUUGGAUCUCAACGGAUUCACUUGAUCCUUGAUCUUGCUCACUGUGAUGCCAAGAAAAUGAAAUUACUUUUGAGUGUUUAAUCAACAAGUAAUUACUGGCUGCUCUUUUUUGCUCUGGAGGUGUCUUUGGAGAGAGGAGCUCAUAUAUGCAACUUUGGAAUUUUGCGGCUUACAUUGGUUUUCCACCACUUUUUCCACUCAUAUGCCGACAUCUAAAUUCACUCUUUGUGGGAACAUAUAUCCAUCAUGUAGGAUGCUCGAUGCCUUAAAUUUUCUCUAAAUUCAUUUAUCAUCUGCUGAAUGCUUACAUGUUGGUUGUACUUGUAUUUUGUAAGGAAUUAAUAAAUGUAUAUAAUAUUUUUAGUUUC